GGGGGCGACAUGGCUUCGACGGGGGUGAACGAAGCGAAGGCUGCAAGCGGGGGAUGUUCGUCUCCUCCUUAAAAAGACGGGCAAACUUGUAACUGCGAACGACAACGCGGUUGCCCUGGCCGCCUAACUAGGCCAGCGUCCUACCGGUUCUCCCGCCCGUGACGGCUGGAUAGGGCGCCAUCGAACGGGCUGUGCGUGAGGGGUUGUCAGCUGACCCGAUCGCGAGAUUUUUUGGCUGACUCGCGGCGCGCGGGGCCUGCCGGUGGGCACUGUGAACCGCUAAAACCAAAUCACCGGAUAAGCUUGUAGACGCCUUCGUGGAGCGCUUCCGGACCCGAGUUCGAUUCUCGGCGCCUCCAUCG
rnacentral:tmRNA from 1 species